AACUUUUGGCAAUGGAUCACCCGGAGACGAGCAACAAUGCCUGCGACUACAGCUGAUCGGGAAGCGGCGAUUUUACUCGACCGAUGGGAGGCAACAAAUGAGUCUUUCAGACAGUGGGUCAAGGAGGCCAGCGAUGGAUGAUCCGACUGGACGACACGGUGCCAAUGCCCUGACGCGCAGGAAUGCGCUGCUCGCGCUUUCCGCGACCAUCGUGUCACCAAGCAUGGCGCAGCAGAUCAAGCCGGUGAUCCGAAUUGAACGCUUCAACAAUAUUCGAAUUGCCGUUUCGGAUUUGGAGCGCUCGACGGCAUUUUAUGAGAGGCUGUUUGGUCCGGCACUUAAGCAUAUCAAUAAGCGGAGGCU
rnacentral:misc_RNA from 1 species